rnacentral:lncRNA from 1 species
UGCAGCCCCGACGUCUCCACGUCUCACUUUGCCGGGUCUGCACAGCCUCUUCGCGCCAUGCGAACAGCAGCAACAACUAAGUUAUUUUUGGUAAGUUGAUUUGUUGUUUUGGGUAAAGUUAAUAAAUAAAUAGAGGUAUGGUGAUCGUGAUGAUUCUCGAGCAAUAAGUGAUGAUUUAAUAGUAUCGUUUAGUAUUCGGUAGUUGUAGAUUAUAUAAAGGGUGCUCGAAGACUGUAUUUGUCGAAUAUGGUUAACUAGAUGCUAUGCACAUAAUAAUUGGUAACGAUGAUUUGGUGUAGAACGUUAAGGAGAUGAUCGCCUCUAUGGUUAAAAUGUUUGGUGGUAGGUCAUAAUUGGUUGUGUUAGCAACGUGGAAUUAUGGUAGGCAUCGUCAGUAUCCAUGAUGUAUUAGAUUAAGCGUUGUUAUACGAUAAAACUAAAAACUUGAAUGUCAUAUGUUGUGUUCCAAUUGAGUUAGCCCGUAGAUUUAAUAUGUGUCGUUCGCAAUGAAUUAUUAGUAGGGCCUAAAUGGUGAGUUAUGUGUGAACUGUGUUAGAGCCCUUCCGAGAUAAAUAGAUUUAACCUAUGCUAUGUUGUCAUGCAAAUAACCUAGAAAGGUGGUAUAUGUUAAUAAUUGGAAGGACAGUCGUUCAAAUUGGUCAGUCCAAUUAAGAAUGAUUUUGCGUGUGAGGUGAGGUGGUGACAUGCCAAAGUAGUCAUCGCUUCCCUAUGUUUAUAAGUUGAGUCAAUACCCAUUAGGCGUUCAUUAAAUUUCACGUCGCACAUAGUGUAUGGUUGUAUUCGUGACAAGGAGGUAUAGGUUUUACUCAAUUAGAAGUUUGGUUGAUGUGGCUAGGAAAUUUGUUUCGGUUUGGGUAAUGAAGUGGUGACGUGACCAAGUAGUUCCCCCCCGGUUAUGAGUCGAGUCUAGAUGUGUUAUGCCUUCGCCGUGAUACCCAUCGCAUAUACUAAUUGGAUGUAUAUAAAAAAAAUGAAAUAGGUGCAUCAUAUGAUUUAGUGGUACUGGGAUUGUGAUCUAAGUGCAUUAUAUAUGUGUGAUGAGUGUUGGGCUUGAGGAUUGUCAUUCGGGCGAAGAAGGUGUAAUAUACUUAUAUGCGUAGUAUGAUUAAGCUAGUAAUACAAAAUGACAUGAAUAAAAAUUAGUAAGUCUACUUGUUAGUCCUCAUUUAAUUAAUUUAACUCUAAGAAAUGGUAAAGUGCUAGAAUGAUUCAAGUCUCUAGAAUGCUGCAAUUCUUGAAUUAUAUAGAAACUGGGAUUUAUUGAUUGCUGUUUUGGGCUGCACGCACUGUUUUCGUUGUGCUGUUGGUUUGAUAAACAAAAUCAUGUUUUCUGUAGAAAAGUCAUAUAGAAGAGUUGUAGAUAACAUGAUUAUCUUGCUUGUACUGAAAUUUGACAGCCAUAAACCUGAUUGUUUAGGAGUUGUGCUUUUCACAAGCCCAGCACCUGAAUCUGUCGAAUUUCUGAACAGAUUUCAGAGAUUACAAUGGUUGCUUAAGUUAAUCUUGAAAUUAGUUAUUGGUGGUCACAAGAAAGUUGUAGAUAACUUCAUUAUCUUACUUGUGUUAAAAUUUGACAGCCACAGGUCUGACAGUUUAGGAGUUAGGAUUUUUACAAAUUCAGUAACUAAAUCUGUCCAAAUUCUGUACAGAUUUCAGAAACUGCAUUGUUUGCCUAAUUUAAUGUUACAAUCUGUUCAUGGUCAUUAUAAGAAAGUUGUAGAUGCUUUUCUAAUCUUGCUUGUGUUAAAAUUUCAUAAACACAGGCCUGAUAGUUUAAGAGUUAUGAAUUUUACAAACUGCUUGCUGUGUUCUGUCCACCGUCAGAACAGAUUUCGAAAACUGUGUUGUUUGAUUUAGUUAAACAUUGAAUCACUUCUUAGUGAUUAUAAAAGUUAUGUAGUGUUUUUGCUGAGCUUUUCAAAAAGUCUUGGAUCACUCUUUUUGGUGGUCUGAAGAUUAAGUUAUGGAUGUUUGAAGUCUGAAGACUGAAUCUGUCCAAUUCUGGACAGCAAAGCCUUCUAGUGUAUUUUAUCCUUAGUUAACUAUUGAGUCACCUUAAGAUGUUUAUAAGUGAUAUGUAGACACUUUUAUUACCUUUCCAGAAAGUCUAGGAUCACCUUGUUUGGAUGCCUGAAUCUUCAGUUAUGAAUUUUUAAAGUCAUAAGUCUGAAUCUGUCCAAAUCUGGACAGCGCUGUUGUGUUAACACCUUUUGACCUUGCUAAGUGUUUAAUCGUGCUGUGAUGACAAUACCAAUGUUGUAGAGAACUUUUUAAGCUUUCCAGAAAGUCCUAGCUUGCUAUUUUUGGAUUAAUCUUUGAAAAGUUAUGAUUAAAACAAGUGACUGCUGUACUGCUGUCCUAAAAAUCUGCAUGUGCUCAAUUGAUUGUUAGUUCACCCUUUUUGGCUAAAAAUGGUUGGUUAGCACUAAAUUCAUAUAGAAUAACCAUGGUUAAGCUAGAGAUGAUAUGUGUGUCUUGUUUUAUAUGUUUCUUCUUUAGUUGAUUGUGAUAUAGAAUUUCCAUAGCCAUUGAUGCCUAUGUCAUCGGUUAAACUGGUGUUGGAUGCUUUUGUGUGAUAAAUAGAAGAACUAAUGAAAAGCCGUAGCAAAUUAAAUAAACGCUUGUACUUAUGGGGUCGUAUUUGUGUUGCGUAAGUGUACAAAAUGUUUGUCGUCUUUUAGUGGUGUUAACGUUGUGCGCUCGAUGAUAGGUAGUUAGCUAACGCUAGUGUGUGUGGUUGCUUGGGAUGUCUCGCUACUUGGUGUUUAAUUCACUAGCAGGUACUUGAAAUAUCUUGUGCUAUUCCAUUAUAUUCAUACAUAUGCAUCUUGCACCUCAUAUAGGACCGAGAGAUGAUGGUCGAGCCAGUGAUGUGGUGCCAACCACAAGACGCAGUUGGUGGACGGCCUGAAGAAUGGACUUAACCAGUGGAUGCUCGCCAAGCGAGUACCCUCCCCCAACA